rnacentral:rRNA from 1 species
GACGAACGCUGGCGGCGUGCUUAACACAUGCAAGUCGAACGGUGAAGGGACCGGUUUUUGCUGGUUCUGGGUGAGUGGCGAACGGGUGGGUAACACGUGAGUAACCUGCCCCCUUCUUCUGGAUAACCGCAGGAAAGUGUGGCGAAUACGUGAUAUUCUGCGCCGGCUGCAUGGUGGGUGUGGGAAAGAUAUUGUUUCGGUGGGGGAGGGGCUCGCGGCUUAUGAGCUUGUUGGUGGGGUGGUGGCCUACCAAGGCGUUGACGGGUAGCCGGCCUGAGAGGGUGGACGGUCACACUGGGACUGAGACACGGCCCAGACUCCUACGGGAGGCAGCAGUGGGGAAUAUUGCACAAUGGGCGCAAGCCUGAUGCAGCGCCGCCGCGUGAGGGAUGGAGGCCUUCGGGUUGUAAACCUCUUUCGCCAGUGAAGCAGGCCUGUCCCUUUUGUGGGUGGGUUGACGGUAGCUGGAUAAGAAGCGCCGGCUAACUACGUG